AUUGAACGCUGGCGGCAUGCUUUACACAUGCAAGUCGAACGGUAGCAGGGAGCUUGCUCCGCUGACGAGUGGCGAACGGGUGAGUAAUGCGUCGGAACGUGCCGAGUAGUGGGGGAUAACGCAUCGAAAGGUGUGCUAAUACCGCAUACGUACUGAGGUAGAAAGUGGGGGACCUUCGGGCCUCACGCUAUUCGAGCGGCCGACGUCUGAUUAGCUAGUUGGUGAGGUAAAGGCUCACCAAGGAGACGAUCAGUAGCGGGUCUGAGAGGAUGAUCCGCCACACUGGGACUGAGACACGGCCCAGACUCCUACGGGAGGCAGCAGUGGGGAAUUUUGGACAAUGGGCGCAAGCCUGAUCCAGCCAUGCCGCGUGUCUGAAGAAGGCCUUCGGGUUGUAAAGCACUUUAGUUGGGGAAGAAAAGUAAUAAGUAAAUAAUUUAUUGCUCUGACGGUACCCAAAGAAUAAGCACCGGCUAACUCUGUGCCAGCCGCCGCCGUAACAC
rnacentral:rRNA from 1 species